CCAAUAUACCGAUACUUCAUUUAUUUUUGCUACAAAGCAAUGCAUUAUUCAACUAACAAGUAUGCAAAAGACCACUACUCAGCCCAAGAUAUGACCUUGAACGUCAUUUAUCUGUUACCGUUACGUAAUAUAACAUUUUAUGGAAUGAAAAAUGAAGAUAUAACUUGAAUUUACCACUACAAUUCAUUAUUUAUCAGGCUGAAUGUUUAACUUCAAGCAAAGCAACAGUACAUAAGAAGUGACAUGCCUAACACUUAACUAUGAAACUUGCCUGACAUAUUUGCUCAACCUUUUC
rnacentral:lncRNA from 1 species